CCAUCCCAUCCCAUCCCAUCUUGCGGAACAUAUCUAUCCCACUAACCACGCGGCCGACCAAGAGACACUCCCAAGAUAUUUUUACCUGCCCGCCAUCUCUAUAACCGAAGUCGGAGCUCGUAGCUCUCCUCCCUGCACGUACAGCUCGAAGCUGUUGGCCUCGUGGCAUCGAUGGACGCGGAGGAGGUGAUGAGGAUGGUGACGAGAGGCUCCUGCGGCUGGGCUUGGACGGAGGAGCGGCACGCCUCCUUCCUCAACUGGCUGGAGGAGUCCUUUGUAUGGGGCCUCCCGUGCGGCUGCGGCGGCGACUGGAUCCUCCCUGACAGCGCCACCGAGUCGACCCGUGACCUCCGCCGCCGCCGCCGCCAUGGGCUCGUCGGAGUUCCUCGUCCUGAGUUCAGCGAGAGAGUGGCGAGCAGCUAACUGUUUGAUUCUUUGUCUGUGGACUGUUCCGAGUCUGCUUCCUCUUGUGUCUACUGUGGUUGGCUUUGAAAUAGAGGCCAUGGGAUCAAAUUAAUCAUUUUUAUUGUUUUGUAUUUAAUUGGUGACCUAAUAAUCCAUCUCAGAUCAUCUGGGUUGAUGAAGAAGAUGAAAGAAAACAAUUGUUCUAACAACACUCUUGAGGGGUAUGUUAACAUCAAUUGCAUGACAUAAACCACUUAUUAGGAUUUUAAGGAUUUCGAGGAUCCAAUCUCCAAUCAACUCUCUAUUCCUUUUUCUUCAGGAAAAAUGUUUAAUCCUAUUAAAAAGGAAUAUUUGCAUAUGAGUUCCCUAUAAAGAUAGUGAUUUUUUAUUUGAUUCUUUAAAUUUAAGUUAGUAUGUAUUCCUAUAUAGAACUUAAAAACUAACAUAUUCCCCCUUGUACUUACUAAUACCCUUCUACUAUUUUUAUUAAUAUAUUUUUCAUGCUUAACAACUGAACAUUAAAUGUAGUUUAGCUUCUUUGUAUAUAUAUAUAUAUAUAUAUAUAUAUAUCCUAUUCUUUCAAUAAGUAAAACACAUUAGCUGUCUCUCUUUGAUUAGGCAAUAAAGGUUAGAGAAGGACAAUUACUUGUUCUUAAAAUGAGUAUUCUUAAGCGAAAAAAAGUGAGAGAGCUCUCUGUUCUUGAUUCUCCUGUAGUUGGAUUUAGACUUUCCAGAAUCACAAGAAUCUGAGAUUCCAACUUAGUACUUUUGAGAUUUUGAGAUAUUUAGAAGAGUUGCUAAUUGGAUAGUACAGUAGGAUGAAAGUGAUAGAUUAAGACUAAAAAGACUUGUUAAGUUUCAGUAACAUAAACUCUAUUUAUACAUGUGAGAGGAAAAAAUUUUCUAAUAAUUAAUUAGCCAUAUGUACGUGAGAGAGUCUGCUAGUUAAUUAGCCAUAUGUAUGUGAGAAACAUGUAGUUAAUUUCUAACAACUUGAUCUCGAACGAAGUGAAAGUCGAUGACAAUGUCUUUCAUGCGUGAGUGGAACACUGGAUUGACGUACAGGUAAAUGGCUCUGAUAUUAUCACAAUAUAUUGUAGGAGUGAGGGUGGAGUUGAUGUCAAGUUCUUUUAGUAGAUUUGUGACCCAAUUGAGUUCUAUAGUAGCAAUGGCGAUGGCUCAGUAUUCAACUUCAGUUAUAGACCUUACGACUAUCUUCUACUUUUUUUAACUCCAACUGAUUGGAUUUACUUCAAGAAAGACAAUAUACCCUAAUGUAGAUGUUUUAUUAUUGAUGUUUCUUGCCUGAUCAACAUCGACAAAGGUAUAGAGAUGAAGUGAUGAGUAUUUAUAGAGAAAAUUUAUGAUUUAGAGUCCCUUUGAGAUAUUAUAGGACUCAUUUUACUGUAAACCAAUACAUAGUGGAUGGUUAAUGUAUGAAUUAUGAUAAUUUGUUGACUGCAAAUGAAAUAUUUGAACGUGAAAGAGAUAAGUGCUAUAAGGAGCCAAGUACUUAGUGAUUUGUGUAGGAUCCAUAGUAGUGCUGUCAUUAUAUAAUUUAAGUGAUUCAGUAGUAGAAAGUGGAGUAGCAACCUCUUUGGCAUUCUGCAUGUUCGUCUUUGAUAAUAGAUCUUGAAUGUACUUUCCUUGAUAUUGAAAUAGUCCUAAAAAUGUGCAUGUUGUUUUCACCCUAGAGAUUCCUAGAAUUAAUUUACUAAUUGCUUCAGGAAUUCCUUGAUCUCCAUAAAGUUAUUGGCUAUAACGAUAAUGUCAUCCAUAUACACCAAUAAAUAUAUUGUACCUCCAUUUUAUCGUCGUAGAAAUAAUGAAAUAUCAAGACUAAGCCAGUUGAUGACAAAAACAAACCAAGUUCGGCAUACCAAGCUUUUAGAACUCGACAAAGUCCAUAACUAGUUUUUUGUAGUUUAGUCUUGGAUAUUAAGGAUGGAUGUGCCAAUCAUAGGUCUUGCAAGUCAAUCAGGUAAGUGAUGACAUAGUCUUUUUGCUUAUUAUUAUUAUGAUAUUUUCUCACUUUAUAUUGUUUGUUGCAUACAUAUAUUGUGAUAUCCAUGGAUCUGUGCAAUAGGAAUCAGAUCAUGAUGAGAUCACGAUAAUGAGACUGAUUCGCCUUUAAACACAAACCCUAAAUCAUCCCGGUCAUAAGUUACUCAAGAAGGACAUCGAGAUAACUAGAUAAACCGGUGUACUGUAUACUCGUCCAUAUGAUGGAGGUGGUUGGUCUCAUAGUCACUCAUGUGGGGAUACUAGAAGUAUAGUGCAAGUGCUCAUUGGAGAAUGAGUUCAUUGAUUGAUUCGAUUACAAAAUGUUGAAUGAUUAAUGAUACCUAACGUCAGACAACGAUUCCGUAGUCUCAAUUGUGUGUCUGAUCCUUAGACUUGAUACGCCAAAGGUGUCUUGUAUGAGUACUCUAUUCUUUGACGCUGGACUUACACGUUUGGAAGUUUCAGAUCUGAUAUUGCUGGUUCUCGAGAAUGGUAGUCAACCUUAUGAAAGCAAUUGAGUGUCGAUAGAUGAUCAUUUGCUCUUAGUGUCAUGAGAAGAAUAUCUCAUGUGUUCUUGCUCAAACAAAUUCUUGGUCAAGGUCAUUCGGAUUGAGAGAGAAAGAGUUCUAUAGGAGAAUCCAAUUAGAGUGAGACUCAAGUAGAAACUGUAUGGGCCUGACAACACCAUGUCUGAUAUACGGUCUUUGGGAGAUUAGAUGAAUGAAGGACUAUAAGUACACGGUAAUUAAGGACAGACAGGUCCAAUGGAUUGGAUUCUCCUGUAUCAUCUAGGAAUUGUAGUGUAGUGAUCUAGUAUAUUUGUAGUCGAUGAGUUAAGUGAAUUAUUAUAGAGAUAAUAAUUCACUAAGCCAAAAGGAAUUAUGAUAGGUAUAACUCAUGGCCAGCUCGAUAUUGGGCCUAGAGAGUCACACAUAUAUGGUAGGUGUUGCGAUGAGUAGAGGUUCAGAUAUGAGAUAUCCUUCAGAGCCCCUAUUUUAUUGGAUAUCCAAUAAACCCCUAAAUUAUUUGAUCGUAUAGAUGAGAUCCAAUAAGAGUCAAUGAGAGAUUAUUGGAUAGAGAUUCACUAAUUUAAUAAGCUUGAGUAAUUUGAUAAAGAUCUAGUACCCAAUAGGGCAGGAUCCAUGAUAAUUGAGUUAACAAGAAGCACCACAAAAUGAGAGAUUAGGUAUUCGCCAAGAUACAGUCGAAGGACGACUUCAAAGUUGGUAAAAAUGUCAUAGGAUGCAACCAAUGGCCAACUUAGAGUUGGGAAGAACGAUAACAUGAAUAUGGCAAUCAAUGAGGAAAUCAGAAUAAUUACUAUUAUUGGAUAAUGAGAAAGAGGUAAUAUUACUAAAGGCAAGAGAUGACUCUAAUACCAUAAUAAAUUAAGACGUGGUAAAAAUAAGCUUGUUAAAUUUCAUUAACAUAAACUCUAUUUAUACAAGUUAGAAAUUUUUUCUCAAAUGAGUUAGUUAUUAGAGAUUUUCUUAGGCAAAUGUGAAAAUCUUAUCUUCUAUUAAAAAAUAACCCAGAGCAACUUGAUGUUGGCUAGGGAUCUCCAAACCCCAAUUUAACACCAGUUCCAUGGAUUGUUGUUACUUACGCUGAUAUUUUAGCAAUGGAAAACAGUAGGUCAACAUUGAGUCAACCUUAUCAAGGUUGACUUACACAGUAACAGGGCUUCCAUCUCCGGACACUGAAUCCAAAUUGAGGAAACAUAAGCAUGGAUUAAACUUUUUUUUUUCUUUCUAUUUUAACCUUGUGCUAGUUCUAAAUAUGCAACCCAUAAUCUAUGGUGAACAGAACAAACCAGAAUAGUAGACUAACAGCUAAAAAAUACACCACUUUGCUUAUAUUCAUAAAAAUAGAUGGAUAAGAGCUCAUAGAUAGAAUACAGAUAGCAAAAAGCAACACAACAACCGCUUCUACAUUCUUUAGUAGUUCUGUACACAAUCACAAACCAUGACUUUGGCACCAUGCAUCGAUGCAGGAUUAUGUUUUAUCUACUAGGUGUAUAAGGUCUACUUAUCGAUCCAGCGAUCGAUGAAAAAAGAUCACUACCAAGUAAUCUUUCAUGUGAGGUGCUGCUUACCCGUUGAUUCCGAAAAUGCGAACCUUGUGCAUGUUUGGGAACUUGGCAAUCACCAAAACAGCUACUGAAACUGUAUUCAGGAAAAGCAUAGGGUGUUGGUAGUCGGUUGUGUGCGAGGCUAUCAAGUACCUGCCAGAAAACAAAAUACACUAAGUAGAAAAACCAUUUUAUAUGGAUGCAAGAAAUUGAAGCAGACUUCAGCAAUUUACCUUAAAAUGCUAAAACAUAAAGAUGCUUAUUUAGAACAAUUACAGAUAUGCUGAAUAGCAUUACUGUAUCGGUAUAAAUCACAAUGAGAAGAUGAAAUAAAAAAAGGAAAGUCAUGCAUUAAGCAUACAAUAUGCCACAAAACAAAAUGUAUUGUACUAGACUACUGGAGAAACAUCGGUAUAUGCUGAUACAAUUAAUUUGUCAUGUACAUACGAAGCUUCAAUUGAGCCCACAAAAUAAUUGCCAGAAAUCCAGCAUGUUUUAUACAUGUUUCACAGAGUACCUACUGAUUUUUACAUAAAAAAGAUGAAAGUGACAAAAAAAUUAUUUCAUCAUGUCAAAAAUGUACACAUAUCUCAAAGGAACAACUGUCAGUUUUAGCCUUAGUGUAAAGUCAGCAAUAAUUACCUUUUAGUUAUCUAUACCAUCCAUUACAGAAAUUGUAACCUGUCCGUUAUUCGUACCAGACCGUGGUAUUGGGCUUCAAUACUUUGUCAACACUAUGUAUAAAAUGUUCUCUCCAACUCUCAGAGAUGUGAGGCUGGCUUUACGGAUGUUCAACCAUGGUUUUAAAUCUUGUAAUAUUUUGGGGGUCCCCUGGUCUGAUCAGGGAUUGGUUUGCCAAAACACCACAUUAUCAACUAUAAACUUACAUUUCAAUACUAUUUUUUUAGUAGUGGAUGUUUAACCGUUUCUAGUUUUUACUACAAGCUCAGUUUAACAUUCUACAGCCUAAUAUUUUACCAGGUUAAGCAUCAGAUACGCAUGACUUGGACCCAAUGAAGUUCUGAAAGAGUAUAAAUUUGGAAACAGAAGCUGAGUGAGGGCCUUAUCAAGAUAAUUAUCACCUGAAUCACUUAAUCUCCUAGUAGUGUUGACUCUAAUUGCAUCUGGAUGAAUAACCAAGUAGCUGUUUUAGCAAUAAGAAAGUGCAUACAUGUUUGUCAUAUCAAAUCAUUUCUAAUGUAUCUCAAGGCUCUCCAUGGCAACAGAACAUGACUAAUCCCAAGGCAGUGAUUGAACACAUCCCAUGUAACAUCUAGAUCACCUGAGUAUCCAUAUCACAGUUUUAUGCUAGGUAUUGGUCCAAAAGCUAACAGGUAAAGGCAGAGUCUCCUGAUCACUGGGACUUGGCAGAGCCAGAGUAAAUAUUUCUUUUUAUACUUUUUUUUAAGUUUUUGACCUAUAUUUUAAUACACUUGAGAUUUGUGGAGGAACAAAAAAGGAAUAUCAAAAUUUUCUAUUUAUAUGUAUUCUAAACACUUAAGCAUACAACCAUUUUCUGAAAAAACAUUGGAUCUUCUUUUAAUCCUUUUAAAAAUAUAAACGGAAAAGUGAAGCAAAUGUGAAUUCCUAUGUUUCAACUUACUUUUUUUUCAAGUUUUUUAUUUAGAAAUGAAUAUGCAUAACUUCAAAAUUCUAGAUAGAGCAAUUUGUGGUUUUAAAAUAUUAGAGUUACCCAGAUGUUAAGGCCCAUCAAGUUCUUUCAAAUUAUUGCAAAGAACUCAUGGUAAAAGGUUGAGCAUCUAAGUCUCAGCAGUUUCUAACUGCAAUCUCACCAAAAGUAUCUAGACACUUCUUGGUUGUAAAUUCAUGACAUUAUAAUAAAUAAUGGUCUCAGGUGACUAGCUCCUCAAGGCUUUAGACUCAUCCUAGAUCUAGGAGGAUUUUGUACUGUUGCUUGAGCUUAAACCCUGAUCCAUAAAGUAGAUCUUUCUAUCCACCAACUAGCCUUUUAAACCCCACAGCAAGUCCUUGACUUAUUUGCCUGUGUUGGAACUUCAGCAUCAACUUAGCAAGUUGCCGUUAGAUUGACAAUAGGUCAAAAACUUAUCAAAUAAGCGUUUUCAUUUUCAAGUUAUGUUCUAUUCUGAAUCUGUAUUAAUAUGAAAUAUGCAAGAUGAUAAUUACUAUAAGUGAUCCUUGAUAAAAAAAAUGCUUAAAUGCUAGAUUCUAAAGUAGAUGUCGAACCUGUAUGGAUGCUAAAUUCAUGUGGAUACACACGGAGUUUGAUCACAUGGGUAUUGCUAACUCUUAACUAAAACCUUUGAUCCGACAAUUAUGUGAAAACUCAGCAUUAAGUUUCAUGCCAAGAAAAAAAAUUACAAGGAUCACAAAACCAUUGCCAAAAUUUUUUAGAUAUAAGAGAAUUCUAAACAAACAAGUGAAUCUCGAAAGCUCCAUUAUGUGCCAUCUUACUCUUUCAAAUUAAAUAUAUAAACAUCACAUAAAAUCUGGACUAUAUCAGUAAAACAUGAUUAUAAUGACAACAAAAACAAACUCCUGAUUCUUGAAGUGAAAGAGCAUUCACAUAUUUGUAAAAUUUAUAAAUGAAAUGCAAGAGAAAUCAUGAUCUGAGUGAUAUAACAACAAGUUCCUCAUAGCACAGGGUGAAAUAGAAAAAGAAAAUUGCAGUGUAACUAAAACCUUGUUUGGAGAAUAGGUAAAUUGAAGAAUGCAUGAAUAGAGAUAAGUCAAGAAAAUAAUCUUAAGAAGAUGACAAGACUAAAACCUUUUGGUGGGAACAGGCUCAACCAAAUCCAAUUAAAUUUCAAAUUAAACAGAAUGAUGGCAUGCUUAAGUUUCAGCAAGGUGGGUAAGGUAAAAAAAAAAAAUUAUGAUAACCAGUGGCACAAGUAUAACAAAUUAAUUAAAGCAUAAAUUCCCAAAUCAAGAGCAACACCAAAUGCUCUAAAGCAGUAUACGUAAGUGUUGCUAGAAAGAUCAUGGGUAUUAUUGUGCACAUAUUUUGGAUACAUAGGUGACAGGAGAAAACUCACCCCCCCAAUUGUAGCUCGUCACGUUGUCACGGACAAAAUUGUAAACGGGGUAUCUGAUGUAAUGCUCAUGUAUAUCCGUGUCUUUUGAUUUUGUUCAUGCUUUGCACAGCAUGUAAAGGGCUGGAAAUAGGCUUAGCAACCUCAUUUUCUUUGGUUUUGGUGGCCGUCCUAGACUUGCAAACAAAGAUUGUGUUAUGUGGGCACUUGUGGGGAUUUCAGUAUGUAGUGGAUCAUUUUGGACCCUUUGUUGUGUGACCGUUCAGAGCUUGUGAAGUUUGUUUGUAAUUUGCAUUGGUUAUGAAAUGUUUACUGAAAUGAUUGCUUAUCGAUCCCAAGUGAGACGUUUUUUCUAACCUAUUUUCUCUUUUGUAGGUACUAAGGGACCAUAGAAGGUUUCGGGGAGGCUAACUUUUGUGGACGGACACGCAAAGGUGCCGCAUAACUUAAACAAAACCAGCUAAAGCAUGACAUAUGAUAUCAAAGCGGGACAGGCACGCAUAGAAACAUUUGGGAUGCAAACAUAGGGAACCUAGCGGGGCUGCAUUGAGAUAUAGGGAAAAAGAGUCGCUCAGAGGAGCGGGCAUCUAAGAUUGACAUUCAGAGGAAUGGCCAACCCUUCGCGCAAGAGGCACCACGAAGACAAGCAAGCUGGGAAGAAUGCAUAGCGCACAAAGGUUGGGAUGACUGAGUUAGCUCGACAUUGGCAACCGUACUUAAUGGUACUCAAGGCAAGCGAAGCGCUUGGUAAAGGAUGAGACCAUGCAAGGUGGAAUGGGUUGUUCAAUGACCGAAAGAGUUAUGCAAAGCUCACAGAGGUGAGAGGAAUUACUAACUUAAAGAAUUCGGUACUCAUGCAAGGGCUCGUAUACGAAUGAUGGAAUGUUCGUGGCCAUCCUAAGACGACCGAAACUCAACACCAUGGAGCAUUGAAACUUUCUCUUCGGUAUGAGAAGGAUACGUUCGUAUGAGGUGAAGUGUGUAGCGAAUUCAACAUGUUGCUAGGCCUUGAGGGGUACAGUAGAGACUGUAUUGGCGAGGAGUCCCAAUCUAGCAAGUGCAUUUGUGGGGGCAGAACAAUACAUAGUUGGUUCAGCAGGGCGGAGUAGUCUAAGGGGAUAGUGAUCUCCGAAAAUUCUAAAGGGAAUGAUAUGAAGAGAGAAGUUGUUCUAACGGGACAUAUACCUUUGGAGGGAUAAGUCUCGGUUUUCCAAAGGGAGAAUCAUAUGCAACAGGCCGCACAUGUUUAGGAGGAGUACCUCAAGACAACAACCCCACAAAAAAUGAGUGGAUGAGGUAAUGCAUUAUCUCAUGACAACAACCUCAAGACAACGGACCGCACAUGUUGACUGAGCGAGUGGCGAGAAGUUAUCAACAAGGAGUUGUCGCAUGAUCUCGCAUGAGGUAAUGCAUUAAUGGAUGCAUUGCAAGAUCAAGUGGGGGAGUGAUUCGAGACAACAAAAAAUGAAGGUAUUGACAUGGAGAUCAGACUCGAUGGAGGGCUAACCCGUGGAAUGGUGGGUGCGAGCGCCACCAUCAACUCAAUGCAAAUCGAGGAGCGAAGCAACUUGGGUGCAACGUAAUGAAGGACCCUAGCCGCAUGAAGGGAGUUGGCAUAGAAGAUUAAACAUGAAGCGGAGGAACGAAGCUUUUCUUGGACAAAGGUUAAGGACAUAAACUAUUGCAGAGGCAAGAACGGAAUCAUGUUAUUCCAUGGGUCCCUCAUUCUGAUGGAACAGACUCAUUCUACAUGGUGCCAAAGACGAAGGGAGCUUCGAGCCAUAUGCAUAUUAUCUCAGAGAAGCAUUUGACAAAUGAACCAAGACGACUCAAUUUGUGGAGGCGAAGUUGGGUUCAGAAGGCCUUGGCACGGGGCAAGAGGAUGUAGAGACGAGUACUCUUAAAGAAUAUGCUACAGUGCUGCCAUUCAAGUUGCCAUAAAGGAAGUAAUACGUAGCGGAGAUUGUGCUGGUGGGGGCAAAGGCCCAAGAUCCAGACAAUGGUGCACCAUUUUUAGCAAAGUCGAUAGACUUCGGGAGCUACUAGGCGACAGACUAUCCUAGAGCGGUGCUUCGUCUGGGUGUGACCCGAGAGUGAGUGGACGAAGGUUGAUUGCCAAAGGAGCGAACACAUUCGAAGGUGGAAGAAGCCCUACGAUGUGUUGCCUGAGGCCACACAUGGAGGGACCACAAUUUGAGUUUAUCCCACAAUGAUCAAAAUGCAAUGGAGAUGUCACUAAGAGGCGACGUGGUGCAAUGGAUCGUGGUGGAACAAUUCGUGAUAGUGCGAUACACACAAAACUAGUCCUGCGAGGGACUAGAUCAUACGAAGGUAUGAUCGAGAGCUACUAGGAGCUCCACUUCGGUGAACAACACGACGGUAAGAAAUGCUAUGGAUUCAAGGAGCGAAUGUCAUAGUAUCGCAAAGGCGAAUCUUCUGUGCGUGCAUCGAAUUUUGCAUCAGAUAAAAGCCUUGGUAAUCAGCAUCUAGGGGUUGUGCAUUACCGAGGGAGAAUAUCGAAUGCAAGUACCAGUAAGUCCCAUGGAGGGGGGGAGGGACUUGAUCAUACAGAGGUAUGAUCGGAGCGUCUGGAGAGUUGGACUGUUCCAGAGCACAUAUUCGUUUAAGGGUGCCCGACAAGUCAAAGAACAAUGACGAGUAAGUGAACGUUGCUACCAAGAAAGCUAAGGAGAACAGAAUUAGUGUAAACCUUGCAACAUGAUGGCGGAGGCCAUAUAUGGGAGUUGCAGUCUGUCUUUCCAUCAACCAAGGGGAACUUUUCAGAGAACAUAGAGGUGUUGAAGUAGGGGGUCGAAAGGGGCAAGGAAGCGAUAGUGAGUCCGGAGGGACUUAGCUACCCAAAAACUAGUGAGUCCCAUGGCGGGGGACUUGAUUAUGUAGAGAUAUGAUCGGAACGAUUGGAGAUAUGGACUGCUCCAGAGCUCAUAUUCGCUUAAGGGAGCCUGGUAAGUUAAAGGACAAGGCCAAGUAAGCGAAUAUUGUUACCAAGGAAGAUAGGAAGAAUAGAAUCAGCACGAACCCUACAACAUGAUGACGGAGGCUAUGCAUAGGAAUCGCAAUCUGUCUUUCCAUUGACUAAAGGGAACUGCUCGAAGAACACAGGAGUGUUGAAGCAAAGGGUCGAAAAGGACGAGAAAGCGACAACGAGUCCAGAGAAACUUAACUACCCAAAACCAAGUAAUGGCUAGAAUGGAGGUGGACUCGGAGGAGUGCCACAAUGCCAUAGAGGCAUAUCUACCGAUCGUGAAGAAAGGGACACAGAUGCAAGGCGACGGAUAGUAGGGCCAUGGGCAUGGUACGACAAAGGCAGGACUUCCGUGAAGUCAUCGAUCCCUUGCUCUCAUAGAGGGAGAGCGCUUGGUCGUGAAAAGGAUCGAGGGAGUAGAGAAUGCAAAGGCAAACUCUAAGUACCGAGACAAGGCUGAAGGGUAGAGGCCAGGGAACUUCGUAAAACCGGUGUCAACGAACUUCUCAUCAAGAUAGCCGAAAGGGAAGGACUUUGGGUCAAUGUAAGAGUGCUUGACCAAGGAACAAAGUAAACAGUAUGCGAUGCUGUACCCUUGCAACUUAGAGUAGGCGGUAAAGAUGAUGGAGAAGACGGUACAAUCCCAGAGACGACCAAAACUACUAGAGACUUGCUCCAAAUUGGGGUGAAAACUUCUUACAUUUCAGAAGUUCGAUGGUAUUGAGAAGGUGAAUCACAGUAGCUAACUCAACGCAAAGAGUGCAAACACUUCAAGUGCUUCAAAAGUGUGAGCAAAGAGCAGGCGAAGGCUAGUAACCAACUCGAUACAUGGAGUACAACUCUCGAGGAGGCGGGUGAAGUCAAGUAACCUUUGCCUUCUCAACUCUUAAGAGAAUGAGCGAACCGAGUACCUCAACUCUCUUAUCUAUCCAGUAGAGGAGCUCUGCACAAGUUCAAAAAUCCUUCGAAGAAAUCGAAUGGAAAACAAUAGUUGUCAAAUUCUCAUCAAUAGUGAUUAGUGCUACUGAGAGUAGAUUAUCCGCUUCAUUUCCUAACAAAAUAUCAAUCGAAAGCGGAAGUGAUGUGAACCUACUUGAAAGUGACAACUAAGUGAAAGAAGAAUCGAUUGAUAAAUUGUACGGAGGAAGAAUAAAAAAACUUUAAAGUCUGCGAGGCAAUGCUCGUUAAAGCUCCAACAAGCAUCCACCUAGUUCAAGCGGCACGAGGUAUUUGAGAGACUGGCACACACUAAGGAUGGUCUUUUCUUUUAUCUGAGGGAUCCACAGGAAACAACAGGGAUUAGCACAACUCAGUCGACCCUACACCAGAGUCAAACUCAUUGGCGAGUUGAAGCAACAUGGCGGAUCAAAGUACGACUAUUCAACAACAGCAACGGAGUCCAGCUGGGAGCCAAGGGGCGUAUUGCAACUAGAGCAGAAGAUUGAAGACUCAACAAAGAUGAGAAUAUGUAGCGUUUGCAAAGACUUCGAUAAGAACGUCGAAGGAAUAAAUGGGAGAAUGUCACGGACAAAACUGUAAACGAAGUGUUUGAUAUAAUGUUCAUAUAUGUCCGUGUCUUUCAAUUUUGUUCAUGCCUUACACAACAUAUAAAGGGCUGGCAGUAGGAUUAGCAACCCCAUUUUCUUUUGUUUUGGUGGUCGUCCUAGGCUUGCAAACAACGGUUGUGUCAUAUGGGCACUUGUGGGGAUUUCGGUCUGUAGUGGACUAUUUUAGACCCUUUAUUGUGCGACCGUUUAGAGCUUGUGAAGUCUGGUUGUAAUUUACAUUGGCUAUGAAGUGUUUACUGAAAUGAUUGCUUGUGGAUCCCGAGUGGGACACUUUCUUUAACCUGUUUUCUCUUUUGUAUGUCUUAAGGGACCAUAGGAGGUUUCGAGGAGGUUGACCUUUACGAACGGACACGCAAGAGUGUUGCACGACUUAGGCAAAACCAGCUAAGUGUGUGACAAAGUGGCUACCAGCUUGGUAUGGAGAGUAGGACCCGAAUAACCUGACAAUCACCCAAACCCAACAAUAACAGUUUGCCCAGAAGGGAAUAUUCUAUCCAUACUAUAGAAUAUUCCUUUGGGCUUAACCAGCUAUAAAGGUUGACUAAUUUACUAUUACCCAAGUCAGUUAUUGUUCACCUAUGGCUUCACUUUUUAUCUCGGACCUAACUUGAGCAUCGGAGGAAUUGAGUCGAGCACCCACUCAACGUUGAACUUCUUGCGGGUCGGCUCUCGAGCAAGCAUUCGAGUCACCUUCAGAGCCAUCUCUAGAUUCUUACACACAUGGCCCAAGACCGAGUCAAGCUGACAGAGGCGUCACUAACAAUCACCACCAUCAAAAGGUGACUUUUUUUAUCAAUUGAAAAAUGGUAUGGCAUAAGAAUAUCUAGUUGCAAGGAAUAAGCUACAUGGUGUUUGGGAUGUCAAGAGCAUUUCCAGGUGUGACUCUCUAAGCUGCAACAAGAAGAAUGACUAAUUAUCCAAGCCUUAACAUUUGUAACACCAUAUUACGAAACCACACCAUUAUCCAUUUAUAAAGGUUGUCUUCCAUGAUUUUUCAGUCCAAGCAAAACAUCAAAAUUAUAUGCAAGAGAUAUUCAAAAGGACAGUACUCACAGGACAACAGGAACAACAGUCAAAAACUUCCUGUUACGAGUUAGUUGUUUCCCGUUAUCCAUCUGUUCCCACCAGGUCAAGUUAUUGUAGAUACCCUGGUCUUCAGCAAAGGGAGUACCCUUUUUCCAAUGGAAGAAGUAAUAGGUAACCUAGAAACAAUUGAGAUAUAAGAUUGGGACAAACAAAAUGCCAGAUAUGUGAUAACUAUAUAACCAACAAAUAUGCAAAUUUAUAAUUAAAGAAAACCAGGAAACACAAUAACAUUGACUAGUUUAAACAUCGAUGACAAACUUCUAACUUAAUCUGUCAAUCCUCUUGCUUCAUGGAAAAUAAUUUGAUAGUGCAAUAGAUGUCAGUCUUACUUACAGAUGCAUUCACUGUUCACCAGAAUUAUAAGAAAGAAACAUGCGAACUUAUUAGUUUCAUAAAGUUUAGAAUCUCUAACAAAGGCCACAGCUGCUGACCUUUCUGGGAAAUGAAUGCUCACCAGAAUUAUAAGAAAGAAACAUAUAAACUUAUUGGCUUCAUAAGGUUUAGAAUCUCUAACAAAGGCCACAUCUGCUGAACUUUCUUGAAGAAUUAUUCAAUUUGUUCAAUCCACAAUUUUAUAUGUGACAAUUCAAACCUUGAUUAUACGAUCAUGCUUGACACAACCAUACAAACGAAAAAUGCUUGCAUGGCAAUCAACCAUGUUGAAUCAUAAUGACGAUAUCAAGUCAAAUUCUAAGACAUCAAAAAGUAAACUAUUAGUGAAUCAGUUCGAACAUAAGCAGAAUUAUACUAUCUGUGCAAAGAUGAAGAAAAUGAAUCAUUCUAAGUUACUAAUGGUCAUUUCGUUAGCAAGUAAGUUUGGUGGUGAAAUAUCCCUUGAUGUAUCAAAGCAGAGUUUCAACAAUGAAGAGUGCCAACGGUGACAAUCUUCAACGGAAAUAUUUGGAGUCGUCCACAUGCUUCUUUCAUAACUUAUUGCUAUCGCACUGAUCAUCUCGAGCCAGAUUUAAUCAUAUAUAUGAUGAAGAAGCUCAACACAAGAGAGAGAGAGAGAGAGAGUUUCACCACUUCCCCAGUCAAGAUGCUGAGCCCGAUCUAUAGAAGUCCCAACUUCUCACAUCUAAAACGACCAGGAAUUAAGAACCCUAAUUUUUAAACCAAUACUAGAAACGAGAUCUUCCACAAUCAUAUAAAGAAAGAAUGAUAAAUGAUCGAGUGAAUGAACGUAUGAAUAUCUAUCUCUUCCAAAACGGGAAAAAACGGGGAAGAUGAAAUCUCUUCCAAAACGGGGUGAGGAAGGGAAGGAGAGGCCACCUACCGCGAAGUGGAAGAGGUUGACGACGGUCCAGGCCAUGCCGGCGGUGCAUCCGAAAACGGAGAGCACAAGGAGCCAGGAAAAGAAGAGAAUGAGUAUGUAGGUGGUCCAGACGCCGGGGUACAUGAACCACUCCGUGUUCUUGUUCAGAUCCGGCGGCGGCACCGUGUGCACGUAGAGCUUCGCCAUCGCUGUCGCCCUGAGGUUCCCCUCUCGAGCUCUGCUCCCGACUCCAAGCCAAGGCAGAGGUAGAAAGCGCGAGCGAUCAAGAAGCGUAGGGGGAGUGGGGACUAAUAUAGAUCGAGGACGAUGAGCGAUUCGGGUCAAAGGCGUUGGAAUUGGACUUUUAUGGCGUUGAUUUCGUUCGCUCUUCUCCGUCGGCGACCAGAAAACAAUAAAUAGAACGGAAGAGAUCAGACGGCAAAGGCCAACCCCUUCAUCCAUUUCCCAGCAACUUUUUUAGUUAGAUCUAUUAUUAUUAUUAUUAUUAUUAUUAUUAUUAUUAUUAUUAUUAUUAUUAUUAUUAUUAUUAUAGUACACAAAAAAGCUGAUAAUCUUAAAGUUAACUAUAAAAGAAUCUUAAUAUUCUUACCAUCAAAAUAAUCUAUUGUAAAGCAUAUUACUUUUAAUUAGAGUUCCAUGUCUGUGCUCUAAUGGUCCAAUGAUCAUAAUUUUUUUUAAUAGAGGUUAAAUAUUUUUUGGAUUUUAUAAAAAGAUGUAUAUAUAUAUAUAUAUAUAUAUAUAUAAAACAAAUUUUAAAAAAUAAAAAAUAAAAUUCAGGAACUUAUAGAUAUUUUAAAAUUUGAUUUUGUAAAUGAACUUUGAAAUUAAUUUCAUCUUUUCAAGAUGGAUGGACUUCAAAAAUGUUUUUAAGGAGUGAAUCUGUAGCUUAUAAGACUAAAUAUGAUUCUCAGAACAUAUCGUCAAAGUUCAGAAUAAUAUUUUUCAUAGUCGAAAAUUAAAAUAAAUGCAUAGUUGGAAAUCUGUCUCUCUCCUCCUAUCCACCUCCUAUCCAUGUAGAUUUUGUAAUUUGAGACUUGGAUGCCUCACUUGUUCUUCAAGCAAUCAUCAUUAUUAGCACAUAAUUUAAUGUUUUGUGGGAAUUGCUUCCAACUUUAGAGAUUGAUUAAACAAUUUAAGCUGUUGAUUUGGAUAGGCAUGGUUGAUGUUUCUUAUAUCUAUCUGCAUAUGACAAUUCACUUUUGCCAACCACUGCCUGAUAAGAUUGUGUGUGGAUUAGUUGGGAAGACCAUUCAGUACUCUAACCAUCCAUUAUUGAUUUUGUUACAUCAUAUUGUUAUAGGAUGGCAAAUAAUGAAUGCAUCUUAUAGUUUAGAUUAUAUGGGAAUGAAAAUAGUGCAGAAUUCACAUUGCUCAGAGUUCGUCUGAAAAGAACAGAAACACGCAAGGUUUCUUUGGCUGGAAUUAUUUUGCAUAAAGAACCCAUAAAUAAGGACGAUAGGGAACAAGAUACAAAACACUAAUAAUCUUUUGGGACUUUGACUUCAUUAUAAAUUUGUUAAGAUAUAUUAUAAAUAUGAUUGAAUUUUAAUUAUAAUUAUCGAUCAAUAAAAAAUUUUAAUUACGAUAAAAUUCCUUACGAAACUAUGUUUAUAGAAGGUAAUAAAUCCCAAUCAAUUGCAGGUAUAUUAUUAUCAAUUUUAGUUUAAAUAAUGUUAUCAAUGAUUUAGAUUAAAUGAAAUUGACGGGCAACCAACCUGAUUGAUUGAUUGAUGGGUCAUAGGCUAACAAGAACAAUAUACUAUCGAUAAUAUUUUAUUAUUAUUUUUAGAAAUAUCAAAUAUCAUCCGAUAUACUAAUAUCAUACUGGCCCAAUAAAUUACCUUCAUUGCGACGCCAAUGAAACCCUGGUUCAAGAGGAAUGAUGCACUCGACUUGGGUCGAUUAGAUGCUACAGUUCAUAGCUUAUCGCACCGUGUCAACUUAAAAAAGAAAACAGUGAUCGCUCGUGAUGGCGAUAGAAACAGAUAUCAGUCAAGAACAGCAGGUCAGGUGACUUCCCUGACAGUCUUGCACGGCCAAAGAGAGCAUCAUUCGCAUCAAUGCAAGAUCUCUAUUUGUUCUUUGCAAGCGGGGAAAAUCUCAGGCUAAAUCUUUAAACUCCUCUUUGAUCUGACAUGGGAUCAAAGCUAGCUUAAACCAGAGCUAAUCGAGCAGUAAUGCUGCUGGCGUAAAAUGUGUUAUGUGCAGGUGGCUGCAGUUUUCUGGAUCACUGCAAGUGCUGAAACAAUUGUUCUCUGGAAGCUAAGAAGAAAAUGACCUUACCACGCUGUGUGACCAUGUUUCGAGGGUGUUGACUGACUCCUGAUGCAUGCCACUGAAAACAGUUGACUUUGAUCUUUGAACGCCUUUUCUUGUUCGAAGCUAUAUAGGAAGAAAAAGGAAAGAAAAUACGGAAGUUUUACUGCAUCUGCAAUUAUUGAUGCACUGUUGUUUUGAGUCACUGAUGAUCUAAAAUAUCUUUUUACGUGCAAAAGAUAACGCCACAUAUUUUGCUUUUUGGUUUUGUAGAAUUCAUUACAUGCAAUUAAUUGUUUGGCUGGGUUGGGCAGAAUUUACAAUUAACCACAGUAAUUUUCAGGUGCUAAUUAUGGUUAUGGUUAGUUAACCUAAUCUUUUAAUUGUAUGUUAACUAGAGGAAUGAAUAUACAUGAAGCAUUAUAACAUAUGGAGAGAUUAAUAUUUAUUUUUUUCUUGUAAAAGCAUGACUUAUUGACCUCACUAAUUAAUUAAUUCUGGUGUAUAUGCAAGGUGGGAGACCUUUUUUUUCUUAAAGAAAAGAGACCAAAAAAAUUAAAAAAAAAAUAAUGUCAAAAAUAUAAAUAAAGAUUUAAAUAUUUUUAACUCGAUUAAGGAUACGACAAAGGAUUCAUAUAGUUAACACCGAAUAUUUAAAAUUUUAUUAUUUUUGUAUGAUUAAAAAAAUUUACCGAAGAGAAUAUUUGAUCUAAAGAACAAAGAUCCAAAGGUUAUGUUAUGUUGGCAAGAUCUCAAUGUUUGAUAGAUUUUGAAAGAAAACUUGCUCUUGUUUGUAUUGUAUUGGGUGAAUCAUGAAUUACAUGAUUGUUAGUGAUAGCAUGAAAGUUAUUCAUUUGUGUUAAAAUAUAUUUUGGAGUGCAAAUAUACACAUUUACAUCUUAAUGACCUAAAGAGGAUGAGAUCCACUGGGUAAGAAAGCUUUUAAGAACCGAACCACUAUUCUUUAUUGAAAUCCCUGUAUUGAUACAUUCCUAAUAGAUGUCUUAAUUGUGAUGUAUUCAUGAGAGUAACAUAUAUAUUAUUUUUCUAAAUCAGAUACUCAGAUACAAAUUAAUGUAAUCUGAUUAACAAAAGAAUAUUACAGUUUAUUUGAGUUCCUUUGUACAUUUCAUUCUUACAUUAUGUCUUCGUUAUAUAUAUAUAUAUAUAUAUAAACUGAUUACAUCUUGCCCUAGAAAAUAGCUCACAUUUCCAAGUACUUCAACUUACAAAGCAACAUCCACUUUUCUUGCUCCCAUGGAAAGCAAAGCUUUGAAUCAAUGAUGCAGGCCUCUUUACAGAUUAAUCUUCACAAGCAUUCUCUACAAAGCCAAGUUCAAAAGAAUUGCAAUGAGAACAAAUAAGCUUAAAGGAAAGAGAAGAGGCUGGUGGAAAAACUGCAGCAGUACUUUGUGUGGCAUAAAGAAUGAACAAAUAAUCACAUCAGUGGUCACAGAAUUUAAUUAAGUAUGGUGUUCGAGCCGCGGAUGGUUACACCAUGCAAAUAUUUGGUGUAACCAAGAAAACUGAGCUUGCCAUCUUCUUCUCUAAUCCAAUCUUGCAGAAGGGAAUGAGAAGCGGUUGGAAGGUUUAAUUCCUGCAUGGAGCAGUUCUGAUCAUGUACUGACACAAAUUAACUAGAAAUAUAUAGUGACAUCCUGGAAUAGUAUUUAGUACCUGAGCUAGCUCUUCGAUUGAGAUGACCUGAUUUCCUUCCUGUUCAAAGUAUGUAAAUGCUGUACUGGCUAUCUGUUCCCAUUGUUCCAAAGCCUCAAGCUGAUACGGGCUGGUGGCAGCAGCACAGAACUCAUUGAAAUCCAUCCUCCUCUGUGAUAGUGCCUCCAUCUGAGAUUUGAGUUACACAAAAAUCAAUUGUGUUGCUUUUCACCACAAUAAGAUUUUCACAAGCAGCAGAAGCAUUAUCUAAGAGACAUCUUACAAGCAAGACCAAGAAAAUGAUACUGAUGAACAAAAUUUUCAGAAUAGCAAAUUGACUCGAGGAAACAUAUAAACUUUGCCUCCCACAUAAAGGAGAGCAAUCAAAAAACAAAAAGUCUAACUCAAGCCUCAAGAAAACGAAAAUAGAUCGAAUAAAGUUCACUGCAAGGCAGUCUUCAAAAAUAUGCUAUUUGCAGAUGAUGUUUUGGUCAACAUUAGAAAGUCACUUAAUUGUUAAUGAAUGCUCUCUGAAGUAUCAAUAAUAUGGAGAAGCAAGAUCAGAUGCACUUCUUCUUAUGAUCAUAACAUCAUAAAGAGAACAUAGCUGAUGAUUAUGUCUAGAUGGUAAAAUCCUUUCUAGGAAAUUAACCUCAUACUAUUAAAUAGCAUUAGACUACAUGCCUCACCGCAUUCAGAAUGUCUGGAAUCCUAGACAACUUCAUUGCUUCAGUUGCAUUUUUCAUGAGUGCCUGCGUGGAGUACAUGUAAUAUUAACAAAAUAACACAAAUAUGUAUCACCACAUGAAAAAUAGGCAAUAUGAAAGGAAAAGAAACAUGAUGGAUAACAUGAAACAUCACAAUCUAACCCUUCUAACAGUGUACCAUCCAACUGAAACACUUUAAUGAAGUCAAAAAUGAAAACCUACCGUCUGAAAGUUUUCAAGGGAGAUGAGCCCAUCUUUAUUUGGUUCCAGUAGACUAAACUGUAACCGUAGGUACAAGAGCUCAUCCUCGGAUAGAGCUUUUGAUAGUGCCUGUACAGAAAAAAAAGGAUGAAUUAAAACAAGUUUCUAGAUUUCUUGGUUCCAUCAGAAAAGAAUUUAGAAUUUCUAAUAUCUAUCCUAUAAAUAUAGUUAGGCAUGAAUACAUCUAGGACACUCUGAAUAUAGAAGUGAUAUGUUAGAAACUAUUUUUCUUCAGUCAAUGAAAAUUAAUAAACAGGGGCAAGAAAUAGAUGAUGUAAUAUCGAAGAUGCAUUCCAUGUAUUGCUUAUAUAUGACAACACAUUAAUAAUUUUGUUAAACCUGAAAAACACAGCAUAGACUUAAAACCGAAGCACAGAAGAGAUGAACCAAACUUUAAUAUCUUGCCGACCGAGCAGUAAACAAGCAUACCACUUACCAAGUCUCAAAUAUAGAUGUCAGUUCCUACAUCUCAUUCCCGUGCUUUUCUCUAAUAAAUUCUCCGUCAUCAUGUUACUUCUCAAUCCUUUUCAUUCACAUGACCUUAUCUUUUGAAGGCUAACUUCCUUUUUACAAGCUUUCCACAUGAAUCAAGGAAUGGAAUAGUUGCUUAAGAGGAUCUAUCAUAUGUUAUACAUGAAAAUAUCUGUGCAUCAAUAUCACAAAUGAGAAAGGAUCCCCUAAAACUAAUGCAUAUAGGAAGGUGGAGAUCCACUUCUUGACGUAUAUAUUAAAACCUAUAUGUCAGUUUUCUGGUUUUAUAUUUCUCACAUCACAUUAAGUUGAAAUUGAUUAGAAAAGAGGGUGGGUUGUUACAACAAGCAUUCUACCUGAAACAGUUUAUAUCAUUUUCAGUUAGAUAGAAUAAGUGGAUUGAGUUUUAAUCACAUCUUGCUUAUGUUGUAUUAAAAAAGGUUUCGACCUGUUCAGUCAAAAAAUUUGUGGCAUUCAUAUAAAUUGUGGAAAGGGAUACAUGAAUGGAAUUGCUGUAUUUGAAAGUUUCCUGAAUCAUCGCACUGAUGUGAUUUGUUUAGCACUUUCUUCCACCAAAAAAAGAACAAAGAACAAGUGAUAUUUAUCGAAAAUCUUUAAUUUCCCAUAUAUCCCAGGCAAAAGAAUGUGAAAGUGAUGUUUUAUGAAUUCAAGGAGUUUUCCAUCCUCAAGACAAAAUUUCUUUAUUAUCCUGAAUAUAUGCUAGGAAAGCAACUAAAUACUUGUAACUUGUUAGUUGUUUUUUCCUUUUUUGUUGGUUCAAAAUGAAUCUAUGCAUUAUAGAUCAAUAAAUAAAUUAGAUAGUAAGAAAAGGGAAAGUUGGCAUGCAUGUGGUUCUAGCCUUAUGGCCACACCAUAUAGAUACUUGCCCAUUUGAGUCAUCUGGGUACAUAAUACUCUCUAGGAAGCCUAGAAAAGUAUAGACAACCACAUGCGGCUGGUAUGGUGAUCACAUACAUAUUCUGCCAAGUGAACUAAGUAAAUCCAGAUGCACCAUAUGUAUGGCUGGAGAUUCGCUUCCACCAAUCAUCUUAUAAUUUGGGUGGUGGAGGUGGGGGCAGGUUGCACAUAUUGUUUUUAAAUUUUAAUCUCUCAGAAAAUAAAACAUGUUUAUUGCUACACAGUCUUUUAAGUAAACAUAUAGUGUCAUGUCAAUAACACCAUUGUUUAUGGGACCCAAUUAUACACUGACUUAAUCACUUGGUUUUAUUUUUUUUAUUCUCUACUUUUGGUGUACUGUGUUAAAAUAAAUGUCAACCACACAACUUACCACAAGCCAUAUAUCCAUUAUGCUUGCCACCCACUUAGCUGCAUAUAUUGCACCCACCUUCAAAAACACCUGACUAUAAGGUAACUCAAACUAAGAUGUAUCAUAUCAAGGAAAGUUGAGUUCAUUAUCGAGGCCAAACCUCCCUCCUACUGUUGCUCCCCAUCAACUAUGACUUCUCUUUUAUAUUUGAACCCAUUCUGUUAUUCCUUUUUAAUUUUAUUCAGUUUGCAUCUUAACAUUUCAUAAGUUUAAUGAAAAGUUAGUCAGGUUCAGCUAAGAAUACAUAAGAAGAAAAAAGAUGAAGUUGCUACCACAAUUUGCCACUGACUUAUGACAAAUAUCUUUAAGGUUCUAAUUUGGCUUAUUAACUAAAUUUAACUUCUAUGAAAACAAUGAAAAAUAAGUAACAAUGUGGUAUAUGAUGGUAGUGACCAGAACAUUGAUAGCCUAUUUAGAAUUUAUGGUAAAUCUUGAAAAUAAAAAGCAUGAAGAUGAAGAACUCCUCAAGCAACAUAAGGUUUUGGUAGCAAGUUAAACUGGCAAGUCAAGUAAAAAUGUCAGCAUUCAAUCGUAGAGCACUAUAUGACAUGUACCUUUAAUGCAGCCCGUUUCAGUGGUGUAACACAAAAGUAUGAUGUGAUUAAUUUAUAUACAAGUAUAUCCAAAGGAAUUGAACUCUGCUCCUUUCUCAACCAAGGGUGAGCUGCCACAAAAGGAAGAACAUAUUUGCUUUCAAAUGGAAAAAUAACAAAGAGUUUGAAAAAAAAAGAGGGAAAGUAGACAUGUCAUGUAUUAGUCAGAUAUAUACUGAAUUCCAAAAAUAAUAACUUAAUACGAUUGAUGACCAAUUAUUAUUUUAUGAAACAAGCAACUUACUCAAAGCCUGAGCAGCUGUCAUUCUUUUCCUGUAGUCCUUAUUUAAAAGCCUUUUCACAAAAUCUUUGGCUUCUGGGGAUAGAGCAGGCCACGGUGAGUCAUCAAAAUUAGGAUCAGCUCUCAAAACAGAGCGAAAGAUUCCUGAUUCGGUUCGUGCCCAGAAAGGUCUACUUCCACAUAACAGAAUAUAAGUUAUAACACCAAUGCUCCACAUAUCUGCUUCAUUACUGUAUGAUCGAUGCAAUACUUCAGGAGCAACAUAGUAUGCACUUCCAACAAUGUCAUUUAGCCUUUCAUCUGCAUGAUCAUACAUAGGAAGCUUUUGUUAAACCUCAGACAUGAAAUGCAAGUACAGUAAUAGGGAAAAAAUAACUGAUAUACCAUAAUCAGGUAGCUAGAGAAGAUACUGAAACUGGAGUAGGCAAAUAAGCUAGAGAAGAUGUAACUUAAUGCAUGAAAUAUCAGAAAAUAUAUAUACAACAAACAUGGCCAUGUUAUACCUGGUCUGGUAAAAUCAGAAAGACCAAAAUCAAUCAACUUCAUCGGAGCAUUUUCAUCAUUAUUGGUGAAGAGAAAAUUCUGUUACAACAUAAAGAAGAUAACACCAGCAACAAAUAUAGGUUUAAUAGAAAAGGAAAAUGCACAGAAAAAGGUGCAGCUAAUUUCAAACUUAUUUAUGAAGCCUCAAACAUAAAAUUCAUGGUAAACCUCUGGCUUUAGAUCACGAUGCACAACACCUUGAAGAUGACAAAAUGCUACUACACCCAAUAUUUGUUGAACAAUUGCUUUUGCAUCUUCCUCCGUGUACCUUCCACCUCUUUGGAAAUACAGGAAUUAAAGAUCUUACAAGUCCAUGAUAAAUUAAAACAAAAUGAAGUUCCUCUUGCAAACAAAUUAACUAAAAUGGAGUAAUUUUAAAUACCUGGCUAAGAUUCUACCUAAUAAUUCUCCACCUUCACAUAAUCUGAGAAGAAAAGCAGGGCGAGCUAGUUAAAAUUAUGAGACAACUAAACUAACAGGCUUGACAAUCACCAAAACAUAGUAGAAAAUUCAAAAAUCUAUGAUAAAAAAAUCAGGUAAAAGAUCAAUUUUAUGCCAUAUUUUUUUAAGAUACUGCAUCUUUCAAUAGAUCUAAGGAAUUAGAAAUUUUAAUUAUCUAAAGAAGAAUGUUCACUGGUAAUACUUCCUUUUAUAGUACAGCCAUUUAAAAAACAAAGGCAGAUCAUUUUUUCUUAUCUGGUCAGAGAUAUCAUUGUAUGCACAAUUCAGGAAGAAGAUAUAUUCCAGUAUAUCAUAACAACUUACAAAAGAACUGAAAAAGAAAUGAAUACUGACAUACUCCAUGACUAUGUAGACAUUAACGUCAUCCUCACAUGCAUCAUAAAAUUUAACAAGACUUUUGUGCCCGGACAAAGCUUUCAGAAUUUUGACCUCCCUACGAACAUCUUCAAUCGAUAUUGCUGUUGUCAUCUGCCAUAAGAAACAACAAGCCACAUGAUUAUAAAUCAAUUUAAGUGGAGCUCUAAGGUCUAGUUGAGAAAAAAAUACACCUUUUAUGUCAAACAAAUAAAAAGGUAAAGAAGCUAAAACCAAAACCAUGCUAUAUAUUGCACCAGGGCUAACUGAAAAAAUAAAGUUCUCACUUCUUAGAUUGUGCUAUGUGACUAAUAUGAAUGGAAAAGAUCUUCUAAACAAAUCCAAGACCACCAAAAUUUAAGAUGUGUGACAUAAUUUACUGCAAAAUGCUUGAUGGGCCAUGUGGAUUUUAACUCCGCAGUCCUUUUGGUCUCCAAAAUCUUGAUAGCAAAUUUGUGACAAAAAUGAUGUGUUAUUGUAUUUAACUCAAUAAAAUCCAGCAGUUAUUAUCCAUAGAAACCUCAAUAAAUAGAACGCAAACAUCAUUCAGACUCGGAUACAAACAUGACGAAAUUAAGGAGUAUAAUAUAUUGGGUAAGAUGGAUCGGAACUACAUCAAUGAAUCCAAUUACUCUGCACUGUGCACCCUCCAAUUUCUAUGAAGAACUACGUAGGUGGUGACUCAAUAAGAAGUAAAAACAAAGAGAAAAGAGGAAAUGGUUCUUUUAUAAGACAUCAUGCUACCGCACCUUAGCUUUGGCGAUGAUCUUGACAGCAACAGUCUGACCCUUGAUCUCCCCCUUCUUCGCCGUAGCCAAGCACGUAUUCCCGAAAUGCCCCCGCCCCACCUCUUUCCCGAGCUCAUACUUGGAUCCGAAGUUCUUCCCGUACCCGAAGCUCUUAUCCAGAGGAGGCUGCUCUGCCUCUCCCGUAACGGCCUCGGGGAUGCUCCCCUCCUUGGGCUUCUCCGAGCCCAGGCGCUUGGCGAGUGCCGCCUUGAUGUGCUUGGCGGGCGACAGAGGCGGGAAGGGACGGCGAAAGAAUCGCCGCGGGGUGGACCUGGACGGCGAGGGGGAGGCCCCGGCGGGAAGGGGGCCGGCUGAGUCCUGGGGGUUGGGGCUGGGACAGGAGGUGGAGGACUGGUGAACAGGGGUGGCGGGGCCGCUACUUUCGCGGAGCGGGGUGACGGCAGCGGAGGGAACACCCCCGGCAUCGACACCGUUGUCCGGGUGCGUCGGAGUCUGCCGUCGGUGGCGCCCACCGUCCCUGACGACGGAGAUGUUCUUGCCAUAGCACUGCCCCAUUCCCCGUCCUCGUCCGCCGCCCGACGACGCCGCCGCCGCCGCCGC
rnacentral:lncRNA from 1 species